rnacentral:rRNA from 1 species
UUCAGACGAUGCGUCAUGCAUAUCAAUAAGCGGAGGAAAAGAAACUAACAAGGAUUCCCCUAGUAACGGCGAGUGAAGCGGGAAGAAGCUCAAAUUUGAAAUCUUAAAGGGUUUCCCUUUACGAAUUGUAGUUUAAAGAAGUGUUUUCUGUUGAGGUUUUGGUAAAAGUUCUUUGGAAUAGGACAUCAUAGAGGGUGAGAAUCCCGUAUUUGACCUUUACUUUCAACUUUGUGAUACACUUUCAAAGAGUCGGAUUGUUUGGGAAUGCAGUCCAAAAUGGGUGGUAAAUUUCAUCUAAAGCUAAAUAUUGGCGAGAGACCGAUAGCGAACAAGUACCGUGAGGGAAAGAUGAAAAGAACUUUGAAAAGAGAGUUAAACAGUACGUGAAAUUGUCAAAAGGGAAGCGUUUGACACCAGUGUUGUUUUUCUGAAAAUCAAUUAAAGAACUGUUUAUGCUAAGCUGUUUAGACUUUAUCAGCUAUCUGUUUAGUUUUGAGCUUUUCUUUAAUGCACUUUUCAGUUAACAAGUCAACAUCAAUUUCUUUUGCUGUAAAAAAGCUUGAGGAAGGUGGCUUGAGAUUCGUCUUAAGUGUUUAUAGCCUCUUGCCUAUGCAGUCGGAGAGAUUGAGGUCUGCAGCGUAGAUCCCUUCGGGGCUAAAUGCAUUUGUGCUAAGUUAUAGCAUUUUAUAGACAACUUGUUGACUAUGAUUUGUCUUGUAGCUUACUCGCUUAUGUUAUUUUACCUACGCUUAGGAUGUUGAAUCUGUGCGAGACUAC